ACAAUGGAGAGUUUGAUCCUGGCUCAGGAUGAACGCUAGCGGCAGGCUUAAUACAUGCAAGUCGAGGGGCAGCAUGAAGUAGCAAUACUUUGAUGGCGACCGGCAAACGGGUGCGGAACACGUACACAACCUUCCUUUAAGUGGGGAAUAGCCCAGAGAAAUUUGGAUUAAUACCCCGUAACACAACGAAGUGGCAUCACUUUGUUGUUAUAGUUUCGGCGCUUAAUGAUGGGUGUGCGUAUGAUUAGAUAGUUGGCGAGGUAACGGCUCACCAAGUCUACGAUCAUUAGCUGAUGUGAGAGCAUGAUCAGCCACACGGGCACUGAGACACGGGCCCGACUCCUACGGGAGGCAGCAGUAAGGAAUAUUGGUCAAUGGACGCAAGUCUGAACCAGCCAUGCCGCGUGAAGGAUU
rnacentral:rRNA from 1 species